rnacentral:rRNA from 1 species
AUUGAACGCUAGCGGCAGGCUUAACACAUGCAAGUCGAGCGAGCGGCGGACGGGUGAGUAAUGUAUGGGGACUGCCCGAUAGAGGGGGAUAACUACUCGAAACGGUGGCUAUUACCGCAUACCAUCUUAUAACCCAUAUGGGAUUAGCUAGUAGGUAAGGUAAUGGCUGACCAAGGCGACGAUCCCUAGCUGGUCUGUGAGGAUGGUCAGCCAAACUGGGACUGAGACACGACCCAGACUCCUACGGAGGCAGCAGUGGGGAAUAUUGGACAAUGGGCGCAAGCCGGAAGCAGCCAGGCCGCGUGUAUGAAGAAGGCCCUAGGGUUGUAAAGUACUUUCGGUCGAGAAGCGGUACCGGCAGAAGAAGCACCGGCUAACUACGUGCCAGCAGCCGCGGUAAUAC